CACUGAGCAAGGUCAGGGAUCAAACCUGCAUCAUCUUGGAUACUAGUCAAGUUUGUUACCACUGAGACAUGAAGGGAACUCCAGGGCCUGUAUUUUAGCUGCAUCAUAAAACUAGGCAGCCUAAUUGUCUAUUUGUAGUCAAAAUGCUACAAAUGCUGUUCUGCUUCAGACUACAUGCUGAACAUGGCUCCCUGUGGGAUAUGUUGGAUUUCAUGUAUAAUGAUAGUUACAAAUUAAGUUUUUAUAUGUUUACAACACCUCAUGUCAAUAAAACCAUAAUUUUAACAGCUUUACUUGCCCUUUAAAAGUGGAGAUUUAUUUUCCCAUUUUACAUCCAAAUAAAUUGAGGCUAUUCUUUGUUUUAUUUUUUUUUAAUUGAGGCUAUUCUAAUUUCAUAAGCCAAAAUUUUUAGAUGCAUGUUAUAAUUCUUCUAAAGAAAAGAAACAAUGAUGACUAUUAAAUAAAUGAAAUAGCAGUAUGACAUAAUUAUAAUGCAGGACCUACCUCUGCUUCCUCUGAGCUCUGUCUAGGAGGAGAAUGGGGCUGUUCUAGCUGCUCCCCUGGGAAAGACAGAUAUGGUAAGAAACCAAUAUUUGUAGUCUAAUACUCCUCCUAGUUCUUUACUAGGCUCAUUCUAGAAAGAAGCAUUUUGAAAAGUUCAUAUGGAGCUUGGGGUUAGUAGAUGCAAACUGUUACAUUUGGAAUGGAUAAGCAAUGGAGUCCUACUGUACAGCACAGGGAACAAUGUCCAAUCUCUUGGGUUAGAACAUAAUGGAAGAUGGUUCAAAAAAAAAAGAAUGUACAUGAAUGUAUGCCUGGGUUGCUUUGCUGUACAACAGAAAUCAAAGGAACGCUGCAAAUCAACUCUACUUGAAUAAAAUAUAUUUUCUUUGGAAAAUAUAUUCUGUAUGUAUUUAAUUGCAUUUUACAUGUUACUUAAUUUUAAAUAACCCCAUAGUUGAGAUGAACCAUAUUAUUUUCCUCCUAUUAUAGACAUAAGAGAUAUGAAAAAGAGUUUAAAGUACCUUCACCAAGGUGACAAAGGAGCUGGAUGUGAACUCAGGCAGUUUUACUCUACUGCUUCUCAAAUUUGUCUAUACUUAAGUACUUAAGAAGUACUUAAGCAUUCUUGAAUUAUGCUUUCUUGGUCCAAGUCAUUUUUACCUGAUUGUUCCUAUAGAUAGGUAAAGAAACAGAGGGAAACAUUAAAUUUACCAAGCCAUGCCUUUAGUGAAGAAGGGAGUAACUCCUCAGUCAUUAUCAAGUGAAUAAACUGAACAAGACUGCUAGGAAGAAAGUAAAAUAGAGUGAAUCACAAAACUUCAUUUUCAAAAGACUUCUAUGCCCAGGAGAGGAACUGUAUAAGCAUUACCAGGCUAUAGCUUAGAAUGUUGAACUAGGGGUCUUCUCUAGAAAGGCCUGAGGAUUAAUCAGUUAAUCAUUUGGUGACAUUUAAUCAAGAGCCAGAAAUCUAAUCAAUGGCCAACCCAUUGUAACAUUGGGGUACUGGUCUGGCUUCCUGCCUGGUCUGUCCAGUCUUAAUUAACGAUUAUCUCAGCUGGGUGACCCUUUGCCCCAGGGGAAAUUUCAACAAAGAAUCGCUGUUUCUAAGAGGAAGUUUCAUCUUUUGCCUUCAUCAGUUGUUAUUAGGCAGUGUAUUUAUUCAGUUUCUAGUUGUCUUAUUGGGUCCAUAUGAUGCAAAGGCCUGGCAUUAAGCCAACAAUUAUUUGAAUGAGGAUAAAUAACUUAGCUCUCCUAAAGGGAGAUAGGAGAUAUGAAAAUUCCUUUACUUUCAUUCUCCUUUAUAACUUUCUCCCUUUCCGUCACUCUGAAAUGUGGCCUUAUUUAAUUUUAUUAAUUUUACUUCUUUCUGGACUAAAUCAAAAAAGAAAUCUAACCCAUAGUCAAUAAGAAAUUUUUUGCUUCAACUCAAAUCUGAGAGUUUUUCAUUUUAUUUGUUGUUUUAGGAUUAAGAUAAACCCCUACCUCUCCUCUGGUUCUUUCAGUGAUACCUUGUUUUGGCUCCUGUUUAGGAAGGUCUUAGAUUCAAAUUGUUGCUUUGCCCCUGGGUGUCAAUGGGAAAGUGAACUAAUCCUUUAGAGUCUAUUUCCCAGGAGAUGGUCAGGAAAAGCCUUUCUGGAGAGAUGUCAUUAAGCUAGGAGCAAAAGAAGGCCACACCAUGAACACAGAGUGAGGACUCUCCUGGGGAAAGAAAUAGCAGACACAAAACUAUUAGCCAUUUUGACUGGAAGUGCAUAAGCCACGGGAAGAAUGGCAAAUGCCAGGUGAGAAGGAAGGUAGGGGCAGACCACACAGGGGUCACUGUGGACAGAGCAAGAUGUGGGAAGAGUUUGCUUUAUACGGGGGGAUUUUAAACCCUGGAGUGACAUAAUCUAAUUUUCCUUACUAAAAAAAUAUCUCUUUAGUUGCUAUGUAGAAGGCUAAUUAGGAGUAAAUAGAGUGCUCAGCGCAGUGUCUGGCUUGUAAUAGUUGAGAAACCUUAGCUGUUAGCAUCCUUACCAUUGUUGCUGUUAUUCUCAGGGAGGAACAUGCUCCCUAGGAGGGCAUGUCAGAGGCUUCCAUGAGUGGGACCUGUGCCUCCAACCACUAACUCCUUAGCCCCCAGAGCAUCUAGCCAAGUUCUGUAGGAAAAUGUGCUCUCAACAUCGCCCGCCCCCAGCUGCCCUCGCAGCCCGUGGAGCAUCAUCGGUGGCCAUGGUGCGUGUCGUCUGUCUUAGGCGUGGUGGGGGUGGAAAUAACACUGAGUCCACAUUUCUACCUUAUCUCCUUCUGCAGAAUUAUACUGCCAUUGGGAUCAUAUCAAAUUCAAGCAUGGUAUGCAGAUCAUUAGAGAGCCCAUUUCUAUACUAAAUGGAGAAACAUAAUAUUUGCAGAUAAGGCACUUUUCAAGGAACUCAUUAUAACCUCAAUUUGAAAAGCUGCACAACUGAAAGCAAGUUACAUUUUCUAAACUGUGUAUUUGCUGCUGUUAAUAAUACCAAGAUGUGGCCUUGGAUGACACUGAAUGCAUGGGGAAGCAACUUGAAAAACUUCAUUUCAUUUGACAUUCACAACACUGAUGACGGAGGUAAAGUUAGAUGGAUGACUUAGAGUUUGGAGGAAAAUGCUGCAGCUGUAUGACAUGUCCAGACCCACAGACAGCUCCAGCUAGGACUCAUCAUUGCAAAUCAUUGUUGGGAGUUCUUUUAUCAUCCCCAAAGGCCGCCGUUACAAGGGGCCCUAUGCUCACUUCUUGCUGUUAUGGAGCACAAGAACAUUUUAAAGUGCUGUGCAGAACUGGGAUUUCUAAAACAUCACGGUGGAAAACCUAUCAGUAUUAAUAAUAUUCCAAGAGAAGGAAAAUUUUAAAUAGGUACCCUUAACAAAGAUAAAAUGUAUGUCUCAGUAAGGUAGGAAAACUUAGGUUUUACUUUGAAACCAAAUGUACUUGAAAUUGAUUCUGGAGGUUGCAUCGUGGCACAGCGGAAAUGAAUCUGACUAGGAACCAUGAGGUUGUGGGUUCCAUCCCUGGCCUCGCUCAGUGGGUUAAGGAUCCAGCAUUGCCGUGAGCUCUGGUGAAGGUCACAGAUGCAGCUUGGAUCUGGAGUUGCUGUGGCUCUGGUGUAAUCUGGCAUCAAUAGCUCCGAUUAGACCCCUAGCCUGGGAACCUCCAU
rnacentral:lncRNA from 1 species